UGGGGAAUAUUGGACAAUGGGCGCAAGCCUGAUCCAGCAAUGCCGCGUGUGUGAAGAAGGCCUGCGGGUUGUAAAGCACUUUCAGUAGAGAAGAAAAGCUUAGGGUUAAUACCUCUUGAGUCUUGACGGUACCACGCGAAUCAGCCCCGGCUAACACUGUGCCAGCAGCCGCGGUAAUACAGAGGGGGCAAGCGUUGUCCGGACUUACAGGCCGUAAAGCGCACGCAGGUGGUAACGCAAGUGGGGUGUGAAAGCCGCCAGCUUAACUGGCGGAGGCCAUCCCAAACUGCGUCACUUGAGGCCUGUAGAGGUAUGUGGAAUUGCCGGUGUAGUGGUGAAAUGCGUAGAGAUCGGCAGGAACACCCAGGGGGAAACCAGCAUACUGGACAGGUCCUGACACUCAGGUGCGACAGCGUGGGGAGCGAACCGGAUUAGAUACCCGGGUAGUCC
rnacentral:rRNA from 1 species